rnacentral:sRNA from 1 species
AGCAGCCGCGGUAAUUCCAGCUCCAAUAGCGUAUAUUAAAGUUGUUGCAGUUAAAAAGCUCGUAGUUGAAUUUCGGGGUCAGUAGAUUGGUCGUGCCACUGGUAUGUACUGGUCUUACUGGCUCCUCCUUCCUGAUGAACCGUAAUGCCAUUAAUUUGGUGUUGCGGGGAGACUGGACUGUUACUUUGAAAAAAUUAGAGUGUUUAAAGCAGGCUAACGCUUGAAUACAUUAGCAUGGAAUAAUGAAAUAGGACGUUCGAUCUUAUUUUGUUGGUUUCUAAGAUUGACGUAAUGAUUAAUAGGGAUAGUUGGGGGCAUUAGUAUUCAAUUGUCAGAGGUGAAAUUCUUGGAUUUAUUGAAGACUAACUACUGCGAAAGCAUUUGCCAAGGAUGUUUUCAUUAAUCAAGAACGAAAGUUAGGGGAUCGAAGACGAUCAGAUACCGUCGUAGUCUUAACCAUAAACUAUGCCGACUAGGGAUCGGAUGAUGUAAUUUUUAAUGACU